UGAUAUUGACACAAGAAAAAAUAGAUGGUUUCAUGAAGACAAUUCCUGGUUUAUUUUAUACAAGUUUGUGGUGAAAGAUAUAUGGUGAAAUAUGGUAAAAUACAGCCACUCAUACGUUGGGCAGUGCUGACAAGUUGGCAAUACAGUUACUAGGGGAGUUUGUUUUGGUUUGUUUUUGUUAUCUGUUUGCAAUACCCAACACUAAACAUAUGAAGUUGGCUGCAGUAGUUUCAGCUGUGUUGUAUGACAUACCUCUCAAAACAUAACAAAUGGGGAAGCAGAAAAAAGUAUGUUUCAAGAGGACACACCCUGGGAGAGACCAGGGGUGAUCAUACAAACAGAGAUGGAAUAAUAUUUGAUAGGCUAAACUGUAUAGAUCAGAAUUGUGCAAACAACAGAAUUAGGAAGGUAUGCACAUGCAGGAAGUGUGAUGUGAAGAAUCUUCAUCAAAAGCCUGGACCAUAUAAUGGAAAUUCACUUGAUUCAAUAUUGCACAGUCAACCUGAAUUGCAGCUGAUGAUCGUGAACUGCUUGUUGACAAAAGGAGAAAAAGAAUUUUCCAAAAUAGAAAGAGGCAUGGGAGGAGAAAAGGAAGCCUGCGUGACACCAUGUACUAAUGAGAAAAAGUAAAACGAGAAAUGCUCAAGGAGAAAGAUAGUCAAAGAGAACAUGAAGGAAGAUGGAAUGAACUUAUAUGUCAAGUAGAACAGAAUAUUUUUCAAGGACCAAGUCCAUCUACCUGGACAUGUGAAAGAGGAAUGCUGCUGCUGAAAGGAAGUACUCUCUUCCUUCCCUUCUCCCCACUCCCAAGAACAUAAUAAAAUAAUAUACUGGGGACCUGGGGGCAUAUAUUGAAGGUCUGCAUCAGUGAAUCGAUAAGCUAUGCUUCUCCAGAAAAUUAAUGUAAACUGUUUAAUAAAGUGUCAGAUCUACAGCUGCUCAGUUAAAUAUAGGAAGAAACUGCUGAUAGCUUUUUUAUGACAGGGGAUAAACCUGAGGAAGAACCUGGCUCAAGGGAAGAAUAUUUUAAAGAAGAAAAAGGUCACAGAGUUUGUGAUGGAUGUUGAAAGAAGAGUAAGACAAAUUUACAGUAAAAGAAACAAGUGGGAUUGCCAAAACAAGGGAAUAUCUGAAUAUGUUGGGAUGAGCAACUACAAUACAGAAGAUCAGUUAACCUUUCUUCAGACUUAGAACAGAUUCCACUACAAAGCCUCACACCUGACAUUUAAACUUGUCUGCAUGAAAGUUCUUAUGGUGCAGAUACCAGCUGGAUCCAAUUCUCAUUCAGCUAAUAGCUGGAAUGUGGAGAAGCUUCAACCAAAUCUCAAAAGCAAACAAAAUAAUCUGAAGGAUAAAGAUACGACGAAAGCAGCAAAUUCCUCUGAAAUCUACUGGGCUGAGGAAUGAUGAAACACAAGACAAAGCUCUUAUCUAUCAGGAAGUUUAAAGCACACCACCUUUUCAUUGCAAACCAUUGUCCUUAACCCUGGUGAUAAGAAGCUUGAAUUGCUAUUGUGCUGUUAAGUUAGACUUCAACAAUGUGAUGGCAGUAUUACAAGCAAGUUUCUGUUCCAGAUGGGACCUAACUGAACGUAUAAUUGAAACAGUGAGACCACCUGGAUACACAACGUUGUCAACUAUAAAAAGGCAUACACAUACAACAUAUGGUUGCUGGUAUAAACAGGCCAAGCAACUUUUACAGGCACUUCUUGAGUAGCAAGAAAAAAAAGAUUUUAAAGCUGUAGAUGGGAGUACAAUAAAGGACUGUACUUGCUGAAUGUAAGCUGCGUGUCAACUACAUCUGAAAGCAAGAGUGAAGAGCUGGCAGAUGUAGGAGAAAGUUAAACCUGAAGUACAAAGAAAAUUUGACUUAACUGAAAUACAGACUUUAAGGAACGUGCUGCAUGCCUCUUUUGCCAGCAAUGUUGCAUCUUUUCUUGGAAGUGCUAUUCUGAGUCAAAACUCCACUCCUUGCUGCCUGCUUAUAGAAGAUCUGAAGACUUGGACUGCUCCAGAAAAAGGAAGUGCUGUGGUGCCCUGCUGUAGGAGAUGUUAAAUAUUCUCCACUUAGACGAUUGCCUGACUACACUGUAUGGAGAACAAGCUCAGGAUAUCUGCUAGUGGAUGGAAUUCACUGCACUUGGUCUUGCCUUGGCACUGUAUGUUCUGAACUUUGCCCUUUUUAAGGUGUCAAGUGUGAAUGGGAGUUUUCCAUAGAGUUACAGAAAGUAAUUAAAACUUAUAGAAUUUAGACCUGCAGAGAGAAGUAAAGGAGUGAAAUCUACAAACUUGGAUGCAAGUCUGAGAAUCAGGAGACCUGAGUUUCAUUGCUGGUUCUGCUUUUGAAAUUAUACCUGCUUGCCAGGUAUAGUU
ensembl:lncRNA